CGCCCUUAGAGUUUGAUCAUGGCUCAGAUUGAACGCUGGCGGCAGGCUUAACACAUGCAAGUCGAACGGUAUAGGUGCUUGCACCUGACGAGUGGCGGACGGGUGAGUAAUGUAUGGGGAUCUGCCGAAUGGAUUGGGACAACCACUGGAAACGGUGGCUAAUACCGAAUAAUGUUGAGAGACCAAAGUGUUUCGACAUGCCAUUUGAUGAACCCAUAUGGGAUUAGCUAGUAGGCGGGGUAAUGGCCCACCUAGGCGACGAUCUCUAGCUGGUCUGAGAGGAUGACCAGCCACACUGGGACUGAGACACGGCCCAGACUCCUACGGGAGGCAGCAGUGGGGAAUAUUGCACAAUGGGGGAAACCCUGAUGCAGCCAUGCCGCGUGUAUGAAGAAGGCCUUCGGGUUGUAAAGUACUUUCGGUAGUGAGGAAGGUUACUAUUAACAUAGUAAAUUGACGUUAAUUACAGAAGAAGCACCGGCUAACUCCGUGCCAGCAGCCGCGGUAAUACGGAGGGUGCGAGCGUUAAUCGGAAUGACUGGGCGUAAAGGGCAUGUAGGUGGAUAAUUAAGUUAGGUGUGAAAGCCCCGAGCUCAACUUGGGAAUUGCACUUAAAACUGGGUA
rnacentral:rRNA from 1 species